CAGGCCUAACACAUGCAAGUCGAGCGCCCCGCAAGGGGAGCGGCAGACGGGAGAGUAACACGUGGGAACGUACCCUUCAGUUCGGAACAACCCAGGGAAACUUGGGCUAAUACCGAAUACGUCCGUAAGGAGAAAGAUUUAUCGCUGAAGGAUCGGCCCGCGUCUGAUUAGCUUGUUGGUGAGGUAACGGCUCACCAAGGCGACGAUCAGUAGCUGGUCUGAGAGGAUGAUCAGCCUCACUGGGACUGAGACACGGCCCAGACUCCUACGGGAGGCAGCAGUGGGGAAUAUUGGACAAUGGGCGCAAGCCUGAUCCAGCCAUGCCGCGUGGGUGAUGAAGGCCCUAGGGUUGUAAAGCCCUUUCGGCGGGGAAGAUAAUGACGGUACCCGCAGAAGAAGCCCCGGCUAACUUCGUGCCAGCAGCCGCGGUAAUAC
rnacentral:rRNA from 1 species